rnacentral:rRNA from 1 species
AGAGUUUGAUCAUGGCUCAGAACGAACGCUGGCGGCAGGCCUAACACAUGCAAGUCGAACGAGAAGCCACCUUCGGGUGGUGGACAGUGGCAGACGGGUGAGUAACGCGUGGGAACGUGCCUUUCGGUUCGGGAUAACCCAGGGAAACUUGGGCUAAUACCGGAUACGCCCUUCGGGGGAAAGAUUCAUCGCCGAAAGAUCGGCCCGCGUCGGAUUAGCUAGUUGGUGGGGUAAUGGCCUACCAAGGCGACGAUCCGUAGCUGGUCUGAGAGGAUGACCAGCCACACUGGGACUGAGACACGGCCCAGACUCCUACGGGAGGCAGCAGUGGGGAAUAUUGGACAAUGGGCGCAAGCCUGAUCCAGCCAUGCCGCGUGGGUGAAGAAGGCCUUAGGGUUGUAAACCCCUUUCAGCGGGGAAGAUAAUGACGGUACCCGCAGAAGAAGUCCCGGCUAACUCCGUGCCAGCAGCCGCGGUA